UACGUAGGAGGCAAGCGUUGUCCGGAAUCACUGGGCGUAAAGAGCGUGUAGGCGGUCUGCCAAGUCUGUUGUGAAAGCGCCUGGCUUAACUGGGCGAGGUCGACGGAAACUGGCAAACUGGGGGCCGGUAGAGGAGGGUGGAAUUCCCGGUGUAGUGGUGAAAUGCGUAGAGAUCGGGAGGAACACCAGUGGCGAAGGCGGCCCUCUGGGCCGGGCCUGACGCUGAGACGCGAGGGCGUGGGGAGCGAACGGG
rnacentral:rRNA from 1 species